rnacentral:rRNA from 1 species
AACUGCCCAAGGGUCUGGGAUAACCCCGGGAAACUGAGGGUAAUACCCCAUAGGUCUGAUAUGCUGGAAUGCUUUCAGGCCGAAAACUCCGGUGCCUUAGGAUUGGUCUGCGGUCUAUCAGGCUGUAGUGGGUGUAACGGACCCACUAGCCCGUGACGGAUAUGGGCCUUGAGAGAGGGAGCCCAGAGAUGGACUCUGAGACAUGAGUCCAGGCCCUACGGGGCGCAGCAGUCGCGAAAACUUCGCAAUGGGGGCAACCCCGACGAGGGAAUUCCAAGUGCCAGCACUUUGUGUUGGCUGUUCUUCUGUCUAAAAAACAGGAGGAGUAAGGGGCGGGUAAGACGGGUGCCAGCCGCCGCGGUAAUACCCGCGCCCCAAGUGGUGGUCGAUAUUAUUGAGCCUAAAACGUCCGUAGCCGGUCUUCUAAAUCCUUGGGUAAAUCGGGCAGCUUAACUGUCCGAAUUCCGGGGAGACUGGGAGACUUGGGACCGGGAGAGGUCAGAGGUACUUCUGGGGUAGGGGUAAAAUCCUGUAAUCCUGGAAGGACCACCGGUGGCGAAGGCGUCUGACUAAGAACGGAUCCGACGGUGAGGGACGAAGCCCUGGGGCGCAAACGGGAUUAGAUACCCCGGUAGUCCAGGGUGUAAACGCUGCGGGCUUGGUGUUGGGGGUCCUUAGUGGGCGCCCAGUGCCGGAGAGAAGUUGUUAAGCCUGCUGCUUGGGAUAUUCC